rnacentral:rRNA from 1 species
AAAACUUUCAACAACGGAUCUCUUGGUUCUGGCAUCGAUGAAGAACGCAGCGAAAUGCGAUAAGUAAUGUGAAUCGCAGAAUUCAGUGAAUCAUCGAAUCUUUGAACGCACAUUGCGCCCCUUGGUAUUCCGAGGGGCAUACCUGUUCGAGCGUCAUUGCACCCCUCAUGCCCCUUGGGCGUGGUCUUG